GUAGAUAGAUGGAGAUAAAAUAGGUAAUAAAAAGAAAAAAAGAAAUGAGAGAGGUUUGGACUCUACAUAGCCUAGUAGUCUGAAAUACAGUGGCAACUGGAGACAUGUCUUCUUCACAACCUUCCAUCUGGUGGGUGCUCAGGUUAGUAUCUCCUUUAUCUUAAAGAUGAUAUUUUUUUCAAUUAUAUCCAAAAAUUUGCCAGAAUUAUCAACCGCACAUUUGUUAUCGAAAUAUAUUAUCUUGUAAUCCUGUCCAAUUUUCUACCUACCGAAAACUGAUCACUUUCAUUUCCAGGACUGAAAAGAAAAUUAGUGAAAGAAAAAGAAAAUUCUAGAACCUGGUAGUUGAUACAUGGUAUUUUGUUGGUCUUUGUUGGCUGCAUCGCACAGAGACUUUAAUAGGGUUCUCGUGCGCAAAAACACCAGCCGACAUUGAUUAAUGAUAUUUAUUAUUAUUAUUAAUCACCUUUAUUUCGCAUUGCAUAAUUCAUUUUCUGUCUCCUACCUAUUGAUAAACUUAAAUCUAGGGUUUGAGUCUAUUGUAUUUAUUUAUAUAUUAACUUAUCAAAUACUUCGCCGAAUUUACACGGUCAUUAUUAAGGUGGUUGAAGGUCGUUCGAGUUUAUUGUAUUUACUUAUCUACAAACUUAUCAAAUACUUUGUUAGAACUUACACAAUCACUGGAGACUAAUAUAUGUACUUAUAUGUAAUAAGGAACUUAUCAAAUACUUUAUUAGAA
rnacentral:lncRNA from 1 species